rnacentral:rRNA from 1 species
GUGGGGAAUCUUGCGCAAUGGGCGAAAGCCUGACGCAGCCAUGCCGCGUGAAUGAUGAAGGUCUUAGGAUUGUAAAAUUCUUUCACCGGGGACGAUAAUGACGGUACCCGGAGAAGAAGCCCCGGCUAACUUCGUGCCAGCAGCCGCGGUAAUACGAAGGGGGCUAGCGUUGCUCGGAAUUACUGGGCGUAAAGGGAGCGUAGGCGGACAUUUAAGUCAGGGGUGAAAUCCCGAGGCUCAACCUCGGAACUGCCUUUGAUACUGGGUGUCUUGAGUGUGAGAGAGGUGAGUGGAACUCCGAGUGUAGAGGUGAAAUUCGUAGAUAUUCGGAAGAACACCAGUGGCGAAGGCGACUCACUGGCUCAUUACUGACGCUGAGGCUCGAAAGCGUGGGGAGCAAACAGGAUUAGAUACCCCAGUAGUCC